GAGAGAGAGAGAGAGAGAGAAGAAGGGAUAGAUGGUCGGCCGUGGAUGAUGGCAACGGCGACGAGCUCGGAUCCGAAGCCCUCUCCUCCGACGCCCACCGCCUCUCUGCCUUGCGCCGCCGUAAAACCCCCCAACUCCCCCUCAUCUCCGGCGCUCCACCGGUUCGGGUACUUCGUCGAUCUCAGCCUUGGUACCCAUUCCCAGCGCCUUCUCCUCGUGGCCGACACCUGCAGCAACCUCGUCCGAAAACACGAGAUGGAUUGUUUGGCGCAAGAUGUCCCAUCCAAAUCCCAUUUUGACUCAACAAAGCUUUUUCCCAAUCAAAUUUUGGGUUUAGGGGCUGAUCUUGGACGGACCCUUAAUCGGGGAUGAGAAAGAUGAAACCAGACAAGACCCGUCGUCGACCCAAAUCCGGCAAGCGCAGAACAUGAUAAGUUGGAGUUUUUACGUUGCCGGAGGUGGAAUUUACCCGUGACCACGAGCGGUGGUCGGCUGUGAUGAGGAACUGCAGUAGGCAAGGUAGCGAGGACGAAACUGAUGGCGGUUCGCUGCGGCGUGACUGGCGCAGCGGUGGGCGACGGCUGGUGCAGCGGUGAGCGACGGGCUCGGCUGUGGCCGGGGAGCAAGGGGGCUUCGGACGGCGGCCGGCGAGCAAGAGAAGACACAACUAUCUCCAUUAAUACCGGCGAGCUUCAUACUAUAGCAACAAUUCACCCAACACCACUCUCGCUCUCAGCAACAGCUUCAUACUACAACCUCCACCAUCCUCAUCGACGCCGCUAUACCCAAUUUCCCAACCUCCGCCUGUCACCUAAUUGAAGACAACCCAAGAAAAAACCACACCUUCAAUUUCACCCACCACCACUUACCACUGCCCUUGAUUUCACCCACCACCAGUCUCACCUUACCACUGCCCUCCAUCUCUCUUUCUUCUUUCUCUCUCAAGUGUCACACGCUUAGAGGGGUGAGAGGCAUCGAUGAGGUUAAUGAUGGUGGAGAUGUUUCGAGAGGUUUGGACACAGACUAGGACUCAAAGCUCAGUGUUUAGUUUGGAUCUUUGAAUUGUUCUGCGUUUGAUUCUUUUGGCUUAUCUGUAGAUUGUGGAAAUAGGUGUAAUGAUUCUGAUCAUGACCAUGGGUACAAUCACCAAAUUUACAAAUUAUUCACCAUCUAAAUAUUUCAAUGUAAGAGAAAUUUUAUACUAAUCAAAAUUCUUUUCCACUGAAA